ACUCUGGUGGCUCGGUUGGCAGAGCGUGAGACACUUCAUCUCAGGGUUGUGGGUUCGAGAUUCCUGCAUUGCAGGGGG